rnacentral:rRNA from 1 species
UGGGGAAUAUUGGACAAUGGGCGAAAGCCUGAUCCAGCCAUGCCGCGUGUGUGAAGAAGGUCUUCGGAUUGUAAAGCACUUUAAGUUGGGAGGAAGGGCAGUAAGCGAAUACCUUGCUGUUUUGACGUUACCGACAGAAUAAGCACCGGCUAACUCUGUGCCAGCAGCCGCGGUAAUACAGAGGGUGCAAGCGUUAAUCGGAAUUACUGGGCGUAAAGCGCGCGUAGGUGGUUCGUUAAGUUGAAUGUGAAAGCCCCGGGCUCAACCUGGGAACUGCAUCCAAAACUGGCGGGCUAGAGUAGGGCAGAGGGUGGUGGAAUUUCCUGUGUAGCGGUGAAAUGCGUGGAUAUAGGAAGGAACACCAGUGGCGAGGGCGACCACCUGGGCUCAUACUGACACUGAGGUGCGAAAGCGUGGGGAGCAAACAGG